rnacentral:rRNA from 1 species
UGGGACUGAGACACGGCCCAGACUCCUACGGGAGGCAGCAGUGGGGAAUAUUGCGCAAUGGGGGAAACCCUGACGCCGCGACGCCGCGUGCGGGAUGAAGGCCUUCGGGUUGUAAACCGCUUUCAGCAGGGACGAAAUUGACGGUACCUGCAGAAGAAGCCCCGGCCAACUACGUGCCGGCAGCCGCGGUAAGACGUAGGGGGC